UACGUAGGUGGCAAGCGUUGUCCGGAUUUACUGGGUGUAAAGGGCGAGUAGGCGGGAUUGCAAGUCAGUAGUGAAAUACCACGGCUUAACUGUGGAGCUGCUAUUGAAACUGCGAUUCUUGAGUGAUGGAGAGGCAGGCGGAAUUCCCGGAGUAGCGGUGAAAUGCGUAGAGAUCGGGAGGAACACCAGUGGCGAAGGCGGCCUGCUGGACAUUAACUGACGCUGAGGCGCGAAAGCGUGGGGAGCAAACAGG
rnacentral:rRNA from 1 species